GAUGAACGCUGGCGGCGUGCCUAAUACAUGCAAGUCGAACGAGGUGCUUUUGUAGCAAUACGAAAGUGUCCUAGUGGCGAACGGGUGAGUAACGCGUUGGUGACCUACCCCAAAGUGUGGGAUAACAGUUCGAAAGAACUGCUAAUACCGCAUGUGGUUAUCGGAUUUAGAAACUGAUAACUAAAGGAGCAAUUCGCUUUGGGAGGGACCUGCGUCCCAUCAGCUAGUUGGUGAGGUAACGGCUCACCAAGGCGACGAUCUGUAGCGAGUCUGAGAGGAUGAUCCGGCCACACUGGAACUGGAGACACGGUCCAGACUCCUACGGGAGGCAGCAGUGGGGAAUUUUGGACAAUGGGCGCAAGCCUGAUCCAGCCAUGCCGCGUGAGUGAAGAAGGCCUUCGGUUGGUAAG
rnacentral:rRNA from 1 species